UUACGCUGUUAUCCCUAAGGUAAUUUAAUCUUUUAAUCAUUAAUAAUGGAUCACCUAAUUAUAAAUAAAUAUAUAAUAUACAUAAAGAGUUAUAAUUAUCUUCUAGUCACCCCAACUAAAUCAUCAUAAAAAGUAAAAAAAAUUAACAAACUAAUAUUACCUACAUAAUAAUAGAAACUCUAUAGGGUCUUCUCGUCCCAGUACUACAUUUAAGCCUUUUAACUUAAAAGUUAAAUUCUAAUUGACUAUUAUCAAGACAGUUUUUAUCUCGUCCAACCAUUCAUUCCAGCCUCCAAUUAAAAGACUAAUGAUUAUGCUACCUUUGCACGGUCAAGAUACCGCGGCCAUUCAAAAUUCAUUGGGCAGGUUAUACCUCUUAUUUUUCCAAGAGGAGAUGUUUUUGUUAAACAGGCG
rnacentral:rRNA from 1 species